rnacentral:rRNA from 1 species
ACUACGGGUGGCAGCAGUGAGGAAUAUUGGUCAAUGGACGAGAGUCUGAACCAGCCAAGUAGCGUGAAGGAUGACUGCCCUAUGGGUUGUAAACUUCUUUUAUAUGGGAAUAAAAUGUUCCACGUGUGGGAUUUUGUAUGUACCAUAUGAAUAAGGAUCGGCUAACUCCGUGCCAGCAGCCGCGGUAAUACGGAGGAUCCGAGCGUUAUCCGGAUUUAUUUGGUUUAAAGGGAGCGUAGGUGGAUUGUUAAGUCAGUUGUGAAAGUUUGCGGCUCAACCGUAAAAUUGCAGUUGAAACUGGCAGUCUUGAGUACAGUAGAGGUGGGCGGAAUUCGUGGUGUAGCGGUGAAAUGCUUAGAUAGCACGAAGAACUCCGAUUGCGAAGGCAGCUCACUGGACUGCAACUGACACUGAGGCUCGAAAGUGUGGGUAUCAAACAGGAUUAGAUACCCCAGUAGUC